GUGGGGAAUAUUGGGCAAUGGGGGCAACCCUGACCCAGCGACGCCGCGUGAGGGAAGAAGGCCUUAGGGUCGUAAACCUCUGUUGUGUGGGAAGAAGGAAGUGACGGUACCACACGAGGAAGUCCCGGCUAACUACGUGCCAGCAGCCGCGGUAAUACGUAGGGGACGAGCGUUGUCCGGAAUUACUGGGCGUAAAGGGCGCGUAGGCGGUCAUUUAAGUCAGCUGUGAAAUGGUCCGGCUCAACCGGAUCAUGCGGUUGAAACUGGAUGACUGGAGUGCUGGAGAGGCAAGUGGAAUUCCCAGUGUAGCGGUGAAAUGCGUAGAUAUUGGGAGGAACACCAGUGGCGAAGGCGGCUUUCUGGACGGUGUCUGACACUGAGGCGCGAAAGCCAGGGGAGCGAACGGGAUUAGAAACCCUAGUAGUCC
rnacentral:rRNA from 1 species